AGAGUUUGAUCAUGGCUCAGGAUGAAUGCUGGCGGCGUGCCUAACACAUGCAAGUCGAGCGGUAACAUGAAUAAUUUAUUAUUUGAUGACGAGCGGCGGACGGCUGAGUAACGCGUGGGAACAUGCCCCAAAGUGAGGAAUAACUGCCCGAAAGGGUAGCUAAUGCCGCAUAUGAUCUUCGGAUUAAAGGAUUUAUCCGCUUUGGGAGUGGCCUGCGUACGAUUAGAUAGUUGGUGAGGUAAUGGCUUACCAAGUCUACGAUCGUUAGCUGGUCUGAGAGGAUGACCAGCCAGACUGGAACUGAGACACGGUCCAGACUCCUACGGGAGGCAGCAGUGAGGAAUCUUCCACAAUGGGCGAAAGCCUGAUGGAGCAACGCCGCGUGCAGGAUGAAGGCCCUCGGGUCGUAAACUGCUUUUAUAAGUGAAGAAUAUGACGGUAACUUAUGAAUAAGCACCGGCUAACUACGUGCCAGCAGCCGCGGUCAUACGUAGGGUGCAAGCAUUAUCCGGAGUGACUGGGCGUAAAGAGUUGCGUAGGUGGACAAGUAAGCGAAUAGUGAAAUCCGACGGCUCAACCGUACGGACUAUUACUCGAACUGCUUGUCUCGGGAAUGGUAGAGGUAACUGGAAUUUCUAGUGUAGGAGUGAAAUCCGUAGAUAUUAGAAGGAACACCAAUGGCGUAGGCAGGUUACUGGACCAUUUCUGACACUGAGGCACGAAAGCGUGGGGAGCGAACCGGAUUAGAUACCCGGGUAGUCCACGCCGUAAACUAUGGAUACUAGCUGUUGGGGGUAUCGACCCCCCCAGUAGCGAAGCUAACCGCGUUAAGUUCCCGCCUU
rnacentral:rRNA from 1 species